CAGUGUGGACCAUUUACGCUCUGGCUGCUCUCCUCAUACUGACAGUCAUAGCAAUGGUGGCAAAGCUAUUGCUGCAUAUUACAGUCAAAUCCCAGAAUAUUCCAGCAGUCAGCGGUUCAGACAGCUGCAGCCAGAGCACGGCGUCCUCCGAGCCUUGGAUCAUCCUGUACCGACCCUCCACCAUCUCCCUCUUCAAGAAGAAGCUAAAGAACCACCAUGGCGACCUCAGCCCCCUGGUGGGUAACUAGCACCACUGCUGCGCUCCACCGUUAACCAAACGCUACCGCCAACCCACAACUACUCUGUACAAGGGCCAUCAGAUGCCAGACCCUCAGAAAAUGAAACUCUAUGAGGCGCUACGCUAACAAGCCAACAACUGAUUGGCUAAUGACAACUGAUGAGUGACUGCUACUAAAUGGCCCCUUGGGCUGAAGUGGCUGGACCCUCCCAUCCUGCUCAGCACCAAAGAGGAGGGGGACAGGCAGGGCUGUCAGUGACCUCACUGUGGGAGAGGAGAGCGAAGGAUUAGAUGGAGGAAGAUCUGCAGCUCUGAAAGAUUCAAGGACACUUUUAACAUGCGGGAAGCUUCUCUGGUCCUGCGAGGCUCUAUCUCCAUCACACCACGGACGUCCCUAACAAUCAACAUACCUCCAGAACUCCAUUCCAGACUACAGGUUUACCAGUGAAACGCAGCAUAGCCGGGAGCAGAAUAAUGGCUAACUUCACUGUCUGGUUUCAGUUUAGUUUGCCUCUUCCUGGUGCUUCAGUCACAGUGGUAACCGAAAUCUUCAUGAGUAUCAAGGAGAGGAUGAGGUCUUUGAUACACACGCACACACACGUGCUGUAACACUUAACAGUUUUGUAUAACUCUUCUAACUGCCUCAUAUGGACAAUGAACACUUGCAGCCAAAAACCAGAAUCCUCCCAUCCAAAGAGUUGUGUGUAUUUAUUUGUCACUUUGAUUCCAUAUGCAAAGUUUCUUUUUGAUGUGUUUUACGUGCAAACUAGCUUUCUGAGGUGGCAAAGGACAUGGAAACGUCACACGGAAGGUGAAUAUCACAGCACUCGCCGUAAAAUGAAAAGAUCACAGAGAAAGAGAGCACUCUCGCCCACUCGUUCACUCAGCACUCAUGUGGAUUUGGGCGGGGAGAAGAAGUACCGUCGUUCACUGGGGGGGUGGGUUGGUUGGCGCAGUUUGCAGACAAACUGCCAUUUAGGGAGGCUUGGGAAGAUCUGAGGGCUUUUUCUGCUCGGUUGUGGGUGGGAUUCUUUCCGGUUUGAUGAUGUUCAAGUGCCUUAAGGAUCUCCUUUUCCCUCGUCUCAGAUUCCUCACAUCUGUUUCUUUCACGAAGCAGUCUGGGGUCCCUCACAAGAGGCUGCACGGCUUUAAAAUCAGUGUGGAUGUGAAGAGUUUCAGUCCAAAAUAGGAUUUUCACCACUUAAAUGUAAAGUAGAAAAUGACGCCACAUCUUGUACAGUGAUUGGAAGCAUUAAGUAUUAGUCUUUUUACACAUAGUACACUCAACUGAACACCUCUCCAGACUGGAUCUUUUACAUUUUUGUUACAUGAUGGACAUUUGAUGAUAUUUUUUUUUCCAAAAUGAACACAUAGCCUUUUGGAAUAGAGCUCUUCAUGUAGUUACUGACAAUGCUUUAAAAAAUGUUUGUUUUUAAUCUCUGUGUGUGCUCUUAUGUGCAGUCUUGGACAUUUACUGAACAUAUUGUUCACAUUAAGUUGUCUUUUGAUUACAGAGGGGGAUGGAUAUUGUUGUAUAUUAUGUAAUUCAGUGUGGGAAUGAUAUUUAUGUCCGCUCUUUCAUUGUGUGUCUCGGAAAAGCACUUGAGAGAAGUGCUUUUUGUUCUUACUCAUCAACUUAGCUGAAAGGUGGAACGCAUUUUUUCUCUCCUUAGACAGCAGUAAAUUGCCUAAAUUCUACAAGACGCUGCAGACCUAGAAGCUUUUACUUGUCACCUUGAUUUUAGGCCAAAAGGUUGAGCGCAAGAAAUAUACGAAGACAGAAAAUAUAUCCAGAAGCACUCAAUGGUAUUCUGCACAAGCUGACAGCAGGUUUGCAGCUGUGACGGUUUUCCGUGCAUUGCCGUGACAUUUAAACUACUUGUGAAAGGUCAAAAUCUACCAGUUUGCCAUAUGCAUAGUAAGUGGACUUUCCUGUCGUGGGACUGAAUUAUAGCGGAGGUUUCUGCAGAUGGUCACACUAAAAAUCAUCUGAUCACAUGACAGGAGAAACAAAGAAGAGGUUUGAAACGUCAAUGCACUUAAAUUUGCUUCUACUUACAAGAUGAAAUGGUACUUACUCACUUUUGCAUUUAGUUUCAGAUAAAAGAAAAGAGCUAAAAUGAACUUUGUGCCGCAACCUGAGCACUUGAGACAAAAGGUUAUAUUUUAUACGGUGCAGCCUCCCUGUGUCAUUAAAGUCAAAAGAUUUAUAGUUUUCCAAGAAUCAGACAGAAUUUGAGGCCCAUAAAAAAAGAUGAAGAACCUUUCUUUCACAAUCAGAGAUUUUUAAAAAUGUGACUGUGCUAUAUUCUGCCUGUCUGCUCAAGUGUAACUCAUGUUAAUUAUUGCAAGACAAGAGCACAUGCCCCUGGGUCUGUGAUGUUCAGAGCAGACCAUGCGUAGAGAGAGGGAGGAAAGAGAGCUUGGAUGUGAGAGAGCGAUGGGAAAUUAAUGUGCGUUCAAAUCAAACAAAAACUAACAAAAUCUGACAGUUAAAAUCUAACAAGGGCAUAUUUGUUUAGAUUGCCUGGUGAAUUAUGCAAACUCUCAUUUUCUGUCCCGUUCUCCAGUCAAUCGGAAAAUUCCACGCUAUCAUCUAAGCGGUGGAACUUUUUCCAAAACUGUAGCUGAUGUGAAUGUCCUGUAGUGCUCGAUGACAUGAAAACACCAGAAGCCCUGUGGGAAGUAAUCUGGAGUGGCCAAAACAUUGUUUCCACAAAAUUGUAAAUAGCAGAAUAGUAAAAUGUUUAAUUUAUACAGUAAAUUAUUGUUAUUUUGUAUGUGAAUGGGAUAUAAUCUAUCUUUUGUAUAAGUGAAGUACCUUUGUAGUUUUAUUUAAUGUGUCCUGGUUGCAAAAUAAACACUGUAUGCAUGUUUCUUAA